GUAGAUAUUAUUAUCGGCUGUACAUAUACUAAAACUGGAACGAUGCAGAGAAUAGCAUCUUCCCUGCACAAGCGUGGCACACAAAUUCGUAAAGCAUUUCAUAUUUUU